rnacentral:rRNA from 1 species
AUUGAACGCUGGCGGCAGGCCUAACACAUGCAAGUCGAACGGUAACAGGAAACAGCUUGCUGUUUCGCUGACGAGUGGCGAACGGGUGAGUAAUGUCUGGGAAACUGCCUGAUGGAGGGGGAUAACUACUGGAAACGGUAGCUAAUACCGCAUAACGUCGCAAGACCAAAGAGGGGGACCUUCGGGCCUCUUGCCAUCGGCCGUGCCCAGAUGGGAUUAGCUAGUAGGUGGGGUAACGGCUCACCUAGGCGACGAUCCCUAGCUGGUCUGAGAGGAUGACCAGCCACACUGGAACUGAGACACGGUCCAGACUCCUACGGGAGGCAGCAGUGGGGAAUAUUGCACAAUGGGCGCAAGCCUGAUGCAGCCAUGUCGCGUGUAUGAAGAAGGCCUUCGGGUUGUAAAGUACUUUCAGCGGGGAGGAAGGGAGUAAAGUUAAUACCUUUGCUCAUUGACGUUACCCGCAGAAGAAGCACCGGCUAACUCCGUGCCAGCCGCCGCCGUAA